rnacentral:rRNA from 1 species
CCUACGGGAGGCUGCAGUGAGGAAUAUUGGUCAAUGGGCGCGAGCCUGAACCAGCCAAGUAGCGUGAAGGAUGACUGCCCUACGGGUUGUAAACUUCUUUUAUAAAGGAAUAAAGUUAUGCACGUGUGCCUUUUUGUAUGUAUUUUAUGAAUAAGUAUCGGCUAAUUCCGUGCCAGCAGCCGCGGUAAUACGGAGGAUCCGAGCGUUAUCCGGAUUUAUUGGGUUUAAAGGGAGCGUAGAUGGGUUGUUAAGUCAGUUGUGAAAGUUUGCGGCUCAACCGUAAAAUUGCGAUUGAUACUGGCAGCCUUGAGUACAGUUGAGGUAGGCGGAAUUCGUGGUGUAGCGGUGAAAUGCUUAGAUAUCACGAAGAACCCCGAUUGCGAAGGCAGCCUACUAAACUGCCACUGACAUUGAUGCUCGAAAGUGUGGGUAUCAAACAGGAUUAGAUACCCUAGUAGUC